rnacentral:misc_RNA from 1 species
CACCGUAGCAGGCUUGCUGAACUGUUUUAAGUACGUGCAGAAAAAGCUUGAAAUCUUUCAAGUUAUCAUGAUUGUCGCUAAUUGUUUACCACGUAAAAUAGUGCAUCUGGGAUGUCUUGCAGUUGCUCCUCCCCUGGCAAGAGGAGAAAUGUUUGCUGCCGCAGCACAGCCAAUGGCGGCGGCCGAGCUUGAGCCCCACACUUCAGCUGAAGUCUCAGCCCCAACAACAUCCCCUUCAACGUCGUCCAAUCUGCAGCACACCACGGUGACAGGCUCAUAUUCAACUACACCCGAUGUGAUAAGUGACCUCUCGACUUCUGCUUUGGUGCCAGCACCAAUAAUGUCCCAGCCUCAACUUCAUGUGUCAGCUCCACUCCCUGCAAACCUGCCGGCUAGAGGGCAAACACUGGCUUACAAGCAAUGGAACAAGGAAUGCAUACCGCAAUUUUCCUCGUAUUUGAACCCAUUCUUGAAUGGACAUGAUUUGCCUGUCAAAACAAGGCAGCACAUGAAAGCCCAAUUAAGAGACGAAAUUAUUACAUUCUUGAAUGAGAACAACUUGAUCAACAGUCCAAGUACAGCAGUCAGAAGGUGGCAGUACGAUGCUUUUGGUAGCACGUUGGCGGAGACUUUCCCGGAAAUGCAGUUUGAGGCAAGAGGCCCUGGCAAAAAAAUCGCAGAUCUUAAUUUUGGUUGGAAAGCAUUCAUGCGAUCUGUGAGUGCAACGAGGAAAACGCGGAUGCUUCGGAUGAAAAAAGUAUCUGACAAGCCUGCAGAAAGUGACCACACUUCCAGCAACCCAAUCCCUUGUCCUGAUGCACUACUUGAACUCAAGGUGAGAAUUUCAUUUUUCAAAGGCCUUGUUCAAACAUUGCCUGACAACAUUGUAGUUACCUCUAUGGUGAAAGUGCCAGCUGAUGAUAUUACGUUUAUAAGCAACCACCGGCGACUUCUUGCAUUGCUAAACCAUUUUUCGACAGGCAAAAGUGAGAUAUCUUGUGGAACUACUAGAUGUUAACUGGUAUUGAGGGUUGUGCUGGCUGUAAGUCCAAGCAUUUAUGCCUAUUAUGUACAGCUGUGGCAGACAAAGAAUGUAAGGAAUGCCUGUGCUGCUACUCAAUUUGGAAGCUGCACUUGCGUAAAACAAUUUGAGGUUCUAGAAUGAAAAAGCUUUAUUGGAUCACUGCCUUUACUUCCUGUGUUGUGCCCUGCCAUCAUUUCCUUAGGCUCUAGCUUCCAGUCAGGGGGAUUUUGUAUUUAUUUUUUUGGUGAGCUGCUUGCCAUCUCUUCAACUAUGCUAUCAAUUUUCAUUUAUGUGCAUACAUUUUCUGCAUCAGGUGGAAUGCAUUUAGCCAUUUUAAGUGUUAACGUAAGGCGUUUUUUCAUGGAUGUUUCUAUGUGUGGUAUGUCAGAAGCACAAACACGUAGCUUAUUUUAUAAUAUGCUUUGCUGAUGUGUACAGUUCUUUAUCUGCUUUGCUUUUUUGCCUAGACAAUUGAGGACAUGGUCACAGAUCCCUUUUGCAUGGACCUUGGGCGAAUGAAAAUGCUUUUGGCUGCAACUGCAGAGGCCCGCAGCUCCAAUGCGCCAGAUGAUUUGCCAUCAUACUUUUUAAAUCCUGACGUGGUAAGAUCACUGAUGUUUUUCAAAUCGUGUGGGUCUGCUCUGUAAGGUUAAGAGUGUUUUAUUUUGUAAGCUGUGAUUUAUGUUUAGUCAGCUGUGCUCUGUCUGGAGCAUUUGAUAAAUGAUAAAGUGAGUGCUCAUUUACACAGACUGGCUCGCACUUUAUAACCUUUAACUCUGGUGAAAAGGCAUUGCUAUAACAAUGAAUGUUCAAAGAUCUCAUCCAAGUCAAGAUGAAUACAGACUCAACUCUGCUGCUUGAGUAAUUGUGUCAAGGUGAUAUUUCCUCUCAUCGUAUCGUUCAGCAGAAAUUAAAGUAUUUGAAGCUAUUCUAGGGCCUGUUUUUGUUUCAGUGGGCCAUAAAGUGUCAGUCAAUAUGCAUUUCUUUCAGCUUGCCUUUGAAGCAGAAAUAAGGUUCAGAGAAACAGUGGAGGCUGUGGCGGCCAAGCUAAGAAAAAUGCAAGAAAUUUUGGACCGCGGAAGUCUAAUAGGACUUGAAGAAUUUGUUCGACCCAAGAAGGCUGAUGCUGCAGUUUUUAUGACAGCACAAGAACUUGGCAACAGGUCUCCACCAGGCCCAUGCAUUUUGAAAGAGAAUGGAAACUUCAAAAUUGCCUGGAAGAAAAACAUUGUUGCUUUACCUCCUGCAUCAUCACCUGAGAAGGCAGUCAUCCUCCUGUUGACUGUAUAUUUCAUUUUAAACCUGUCGUACCCAUACGCUUUUGGACAGUUUUUGGGACUUGUACAGACAGUUGUGAAGGGUGAGCCAUUUGACAGUGGCUUGAUGUCGUUUAAGGUAAAGUCUUUGUUCAAAAACCUCAAGCAGUCAGGCCUAAUAUUGACGUGCUAAAUGUUUGGUAGGAAGAAGCAGUAUGUCAGCUGCAACAGUGUGAAGUCAUGCCUUUUACAAUUUUGUAUUGCCAAGGCACGCUGGCUGUAGGUUUCAAGGCUGGCUUUUUUUUUGUUUGUUCAAGAUAUCUCACUUGUAUUUUUCAAGGUUGUAUUUUUCAAGUUGGUAUAUAAAGAUUUCUCACUUCUUUUCCAGAGUCGCUAACCUUUAUAUUUUGCUGUUGCCUUGUUGACCUUUAAAUAUGUGGAACAUGCUUCCAGAUAUAUUUGGGGCAUAAAAUUUUACAAACAUUACACUAGCUUUCAUGGUAGUAUUUGGGAUGAGUUAUCACAAACUACACAAAGUUGAGGCAAGUAACCUGCCUGGAGUGGGAGGCUUUUUCAGGUGCUUAUCAAGUGUUUUGGUCACGAUUAGCUUUGUAUUAUACGUACAUGUGUGAUCAGCCAUCUGUAUUGUUUCUAGUGUUUGUGUUGCGAUAUUUGCCACAUGCUUCUGGCAAGUUCUCGUGUGCAAUUGUCUCAUUUUUUAUUUUGGCUUGCACUGUCCUUUCCCUUUAAUAACUCAUCCACUACAUUCUUCCUUUGUCUCGUCUUAAUUAAACUCUGUAAGCCCAUUGCUUUAUGCCGUUUUCGUAUAAUUCUUAGAGUACUGAAUUCUUUUGGAACGGGGAUGCAUAAACUCAGUAAAUGGCAGAUGGGUACUUGCACCUUUGAGUUACCUUAUUUCCUGUGAUAAGCCAACAUAUUUUAUAGCCUUGUUUAAUGUUUCUUUUUUCCAUAGACGAUGUGGAAGUUUAUUUGCACGUGGUGCACUUCUGUUUCGGGCCAUUUUUAUUACCCACUUUUUUAAUAUAGGGGCAUAUGUGUGAAUGCCACCUAGUGCCUAGUCUCUUUUCUUUUUGCUAUUUGUUCCUUGUUGACUAGUCAUUUUC